rnacentral:rRNA from 1 species
GAAUCAAUACAACUUUCAACAACGGAUCUCUUGGCUCUCGCAUCGAUGAAGAACGCAGCGAAAUGCGAUAAGUAAUGUGAAUUGCAGAAUUCAGUGAAUCAUCGAAUCUUUGAACGCACCUUGCGCUCCUUGGUAUUCCGAGGAGCAUGCCUGUUUGAGUGUCAUUAA